GCGAAUAUUCUCGAGCAAGCCUGCUUCUCCGCCGCUCCUCAGGCUCAUUGUCUCAACAAUGACAAAGAAAGAAAUAUAGUAGAGAUCUCGAAACGAUCUGAUCACGAAUGGUUUUGUCAAAACAAGAGUAAGAAAGAAGGAUCGGAGCAUAAAUUGAUUGUAAAGAGAAAGCGACAGAAAUACAUGCUUCUUUUAUGUACGUUUCGAUUGUCUCAAUUUUCUCAUUUCAGAAGCUUCUGUCUUAUUUUUUCUUUACACAUUCGACCUGAGUCAGCGGCACACGAUGCAUGUUUUCUUGACGGAUUACUUGUGUUCUAGUAAAUUCUUAACAUUGCACCACACAGAGCGCAGAAUUUCUAGUAAUUUACUAAAAUGCAAGCAACCGUGUAAGAAAACACGCAUCGUGUGCCACUAGCUUUACACUUCGAUUUUUAUUUUUGUCAGGAUUGUGUUGAAUAACAACGGAGCUUAUUGGAAAUCCAAUCGUCUCUGAACUUCAUCACGAAUGGUUGAUUGAUAUACCUCUAAAACCGGCGAGAUCCGAAUGGCGAUGGUUUUAUUUAGGUUUAGGUUAUCACAUCGUUGCACAUCGAUGAACGGAACACAGCUUGUUGCGCGGAACAAGUAAACGAGAACGAGCGAGAACGAAGAAGACGUGAUGUGUCAUUCGUACCUAGACCCCUGCAGAGUCCGACCGGAAAGCGAAACAAUAGAGAUCGACGAAUGACAAUUGCAACGUUUCUCUAAACUGACAUGACGACCGAUAAUCCACGGUAAUCAGAUACCGCAUAUAGCUUGCGUGCGUCGUAUAGCUUGGUGUGUACAUAUAUAUAUAUGUAUAUAUGAUAUAUGAUAUAUGAAUAUAGCCUCCCAUUCGCGCGAGCGUAAGCACAAAAAAACUGCAACCAGUAAUAUAAAGCAGCCAGAAAUAGUUGGAUAUACCGAUGAGUUGUUAUU